UCUUAACUUCUUAAAAUAAGAAUCCUCCCUUGACAAAGCGGUUGAGUACUAAGUUAUGCAUCAGGGAUCAUAAGGUAAGGACCCAAGCUUAAGAGUAAAGCAAAGACAUACUAUAUCACUGCUGCUUCUACCACAUCUUGCUACUAAUAUCUAUCUACCAAGUAGACUGCACAAACAAUACUCAACUUACCUUUCCCAUGAAGAAAGCUCUGCUUUAACUCCGAGACCAACUACUGUUUUAACACAAAGGUAGUAGAGCCGACAAUGCUGGUCAUGAAAAUUCCUCCUGGUACAUCUCUCUCCCUUCAACCGCUAUGCUUAAGGCAAGUAUUUGGACUGAUGUUAAUUAGAUCAAUCAACCAUUAGAGUUUUAUAGAAAUCCUCCAUCUGCCGUCUUGUCUCUCUGUACAAACAUACUCAAGGUAUAGAUGCAUCAGGAAGCAUCUCUCACUUUGGCAAACUUAUACAUUUUAGUUUCUCAUUAGUCAGAAUGAAUAUAUGGUAAUAAGUUGUACAAUUUAGAAUGGAUUGUGGGAACUGAAGGCUUGAUCAUAUGUUCCUAACAAACAUUACACCAAGCUUUUUUUUUUUGUUCUAAAUUUUCUGUAUGGAAUGACAUGUACAUACAUUUCUAUAUAAUAAAAAGAUUUUCUAUAGCAACGAGUUGAUUCUUCACCUUUAUUAAACUCAGCAGAUUUACUCACAUAAACAAAACAAAAAGAAGUGAUCACUUUGAUGAACAAUUUGAAAGAAGGGAUCCAUGUUCAGUUUGCGGAUGAAUAUGAGCAGAUAUUGGAGCUAGCAUUCAACUAUGAUGACCAUUAGACAAGUCUUUGACUUGGGUUCUUGCUCUGUUUUCGUUUUUCAUUAUGUCAUCGAUUAUUAAUUCUAGAGAACAAGAUAUGAACAUGGAUUAUUAGGAGGAGAAGGGCUUGCAGAGAGAUGGGAAGAAUGGCAGAAUCUUGAAGUGACGAGACAAGAAGAGUUUCAGAGGUUGCAGAGGAGAUUUGAUUCCAUUAAUAAUGAAGAUGCCAUAGAAUUAUCUGGUGGAAGAUAGAAAACAAAUACUUGGAUUCAAACACACUGUAAAGUAGAAGAAGAAACCACUAGUUUUGGUUUCAAACGGCGUUAUGUUCACUUGUGUAUUUAUGUUGUAACGUUUUUGAUACAAUAUGUUUGAAGCUUUGUG